UCCCCAUUAGCUCAGUCGGUAGAGCAGGUGACUGUUAAUCACCUUGUCCGUGGUUCGAGUCCGCGAUGGGGAGCCA
rnacentral:tRNA from 5 species